CCUUAAUCACGCAGCAGCGGCGCCCCCUCUCUCCCUAACCCUAAUGUACUCCUCCUCCAUCCUUCUCACGCUGACACGCAGGACGGCAGCAGCGGUGGUGGGUUCGUUGUCGCUUUCAUGGCGCCUUCGCGAGUCCCAGCUACCGCGCUCUUCUCCUCCUCCUCCAUCCUUCUCACACAGGAGCAGUGGCCGUUCUUCGCUGGCGUUCUCACUCUCGCUUCCAAUAACACUCGUUAGUCAACCUCUCUCACAACCCCUCCGUUAGUGCCCCCUCCGCCAGAGAAAGGAAGAGAUUAAUGCGACACUUGAUUCUGAUGUUCCUAUGGUCCCCGCCGGCCAGCCCUCCAGCAGCGCCGCUGGCCCUUCCACCAAGAAGCCCAAGCUCUUCGAGAUCAAGAAGUGGAACGCUGUUGCUCUCUGGGCUUGGGGAACCACAUCAUGGAUCUCUGUAUCGAGUGCCAAGCUAAAUCAAGCUAGUGCAACUAGCGAGGAAUGCACUGUGGCUUGUGGUAAUGUUUCGAGUUUAUAGAAGCUGUAGAAGCAAAAUCAUCUUCUUCAUCUGGGUAUGGUUCUAUGGUAAGCGUCCAUGGGUAUUUAGAGGAAGUGCCUUGUAUUAACUCCAUCUUGUGAAGGCAGAGAAAGCUAGAAGAUACAUUCCAAGAGAAUUCAAAUUGGCUGAAGCUUUUGGACCAUGGAAGCUAGUUUGGAGGGCCAAAGCUAUCUAGAUGUUCCUGCAUCACAAAUGGUGCAUGAGCAACUUUGGGUAGAUAAAUAUGCACCAAAGUCAUUUACUGAGCUUCUUAGUGAUGAACAAACAAAUCGUGAGGUACUCUUAUGGUUGAAAUAAUGGGACUCUGCUAUUUUUGGAUCUGAAAUUCGAAGUACAUCAGAUGAUGUUUUGUUUGCUUUGAAGCGACAUUCUUCUGUUGCCCAAACUCAGCGACCUUUCAAUUCAAAGUUUUCAAGGACAAACAGAGGAGCCAAAUGGAGUAGUGGGAGGUAUAAAAAUUCAAGAAGUAUGGAUGAAAGUAGUAACUCACAGGGCAUUGAGGAUAUACUGAAUACAAGGACAACCAAUGUUGGUCCACCAGAACAGAAGGCUCAACCAGUGAAUGUUCCAACUAGUUUUAAGCAGAGGGCAAUACUGGUGGAUGAGAUUUGGCAUGCUGCAGGUGACAAUGCUUCUGAUAUUGAUUGGUAUGCCAAGCGCACUGUCCUAGCAAGACUAUACUUGACAACCGAGAUUUAUAUGCUGACAUAUACAUCUCCUGACUUCCAUGAUACAUGGGCCUUCCUGGAUGCUCGAGUGAAAAAUGCUUUUGAUCUAAAGAAAACCAUUCAAGAGCUCCACCAAACAUUGUUGGGAAUCAUUCUGAGAGGGGGAUAUUGAGCUCGAUUAUGUACUUGUUGGGCACAAGGUUGUAAGAAAAAUAUAAAAUACAGAAAAUGAGGGACCCUGACGUGAUCUUGAGAUCCCAGACCUACUAUUAAUUUUCCAUUGCUUUUGUAAUUAUACAUGCGUUUUGCUUAGUUAGUGAAUUUCGGUUGGAUAGUAGGUUGAAGGGUUUUUUGUUACUGAAAAAACCUGGAAAGUUUUGUAUGAGGAUUAAUGUAUAAAACAAUUAUACCAAAAAUUGUUAUUAAUUACUGUUUAAUUUAUCUUGUAAUAAAAAUUGCAUAUUAUAUUUA